rnacentral:rRNA from 1 species
GUCCUAGCCGUAAACGUUGGGUGCUAGGUGUGGGCGGAUAUCGACCCCGUCCGUGCCGAAGCUAACGCAUUAAGCACCCCGCCUGGGGAGUACGGCCGCAAGGCUAAAACUCAAAGGAAUUGACGGGGCCCCGCACAAGCGGCGGAGCAUGCGGCUUAAUUCGAUGCAACGCGAAGAACCUUACCUGGGUUUGACAUGCAGGGUGAAACCCGUGAAAGCGGGCGCUCUUCGGAGCCUGCACAGGUGGUGCAUGGCUGUCGU